AGCCAUGCUGGGACACCGCCUUGAAGGGUAUUUAGUCGAACGGAUUGACCUCAUUACUUUUCUCUAAAGACAGACAUAAGGCCAGCAUUUUCGAGUGGAAGGGGCAAUCGAUUACAUCAACCCCAGUAAUUGACUGGUAAUUUACUUCAUCGACCUAAAAAGGAUGACCGUGGCAAGAUGUAAUUUCAUAACGUAAAGACUUGGAAGAAAUAAAAGUGUCACCAGGAGAUUGAUGACGCAAGUGACAACAAGAUUCCAAUAAUAUAAAACUUCGAGACACCGCAGCAGCAAUAUGGCAACAGUGAAAGAGAAGAAAGCAAACAUAAAGGAAGGAGAUAAACUUUGCCGAACGAAACUUCUCUGCAAUGUUAUAAAUGAAAAGUGAAAUAUUUACCGUGUGUCUGAAGCAGAAAUUAGAAAAUAAUUAAGCAGAAUUAGCUCCAAGCAGCAUGAAACAGAUUUCUGAAGGGAGACAGACAGACUGGAACUUUUAAAUUGUCCCAAGAUACUAAAACAAUGAGAAUAAGUAAGUUAAUCACGAUGCCAUAAGGGUAAACUUGCGUUACUUUCGAGAUAGAUUUGAAGAACAAGUCUUGAAAUGGAGGCGUGGUGAGAAUGAACUGAGGAAUCUAUAUUAAUAAUUAAUGAACGGUUUAACCCCCCACUUUGUAAGAGAUCAUAUAGCCGAAUAAGUUUGAGCUAUUUAGCAUGUUAGUCGUGAACCAUGAAUUUGUCAGAAAUACAAAUGUCAGAAAUAUAGAGCAUCGCAUUUUCUCACUAUCUAGCAUUUAGAAAGUGACUGCAAUUCAACGUUCUAACAAGGAAUGAUUUUACACGCAUUCACCAAACGUUACAGAAAUUGGGAUGAAACAUUACGUCUAUGAUCAUCUCUUGAUCUUCAUGAAACGAUUGACUUUUGAUCGUGCAUGGUACAGUAUGGUUCCCAACUUAUCGAAUUUACAGCCCACAGCCCAUUUGUAAUAACAACGUUAUGUUUAAAUAGCUAAUGAACGACAUACAGUUUUAUUUCUACAUUUUUUCUAUAAAUAAGAGAUCUUCUGCACAAAUUGAUAAUGUUGUCUGAUAUAGUUUCAAAUUCGGCUCCUCAUGGAGGUGGUAUUGUUCUAUAUUUGACAAAGUAAACAUGCUAAUGAC